GACGAACGCUGGCGGCGUGCUUAACACAUGCAAGUCGAACGGUGAAGCGCCUUCCUUUUUGGUGGGUGUGGAUGAGUGGCGAACGGGUGAGUAACACGUUAGUAACCUGCCCCCUUCUUCUGGAUAACCGCAUGAAAGUGUGGCUAAUACGGGAUAUUCUGGGUCUGUCGCAUGAUGGGUCUGGGAAAGAUAUUGUUUCGGUGGGGGAUGGGCUCGCGGCCUAUCAGCUUGUUGGUGGGGUGAUGGCCUACCAAGGCGGUGACGGGUAGCCGGCCUGAGAGGGUGGACGGUCACACUGGGACUGAGACACGGCCCAGACUCCUACGGGAGGCAGCAGUGGGGAAUAUUGCACAAUGGGCGCAAGCCUGAUGCAACGACGCCGCGUGAGGGAUGGAGGCCUUCGGGUUGUGAACCUCUUUCGCCAGUGAAGCAGGCCUGCCUCGUUUGUGGGUGGGUUGACGGUAGCUGGAUAAGAAGCGCCGGCUAACUACGUG
rnacentral:rRNA from 1 species